CCCCUCCUCAGCCCCGUCCCCUCUUCAGCCCCAUCACCCUUCUUCAGCCCUGUCCCCUUAGUCAGCCCUGCCCCCCCUCAUCAGCCCUGUCCCCUCUCCUCAGUCCUGUCCCCUUAAUCUGCCCCUGUCACCUACCUCAGCCCCUGUCCCCCCUCCUCAACUCCUGUCCCCUAAGUCAGCCCCUUUCACCCUUGUCCCUUUGCUCAGCCCCUGUCCCCCUCCUCAGCCCUGUCCCCGUCCUGUCCCUCCCUGACCCCUCCUCCUGUCCUUCAGCCCCUGUCCCCCCUCCUCAGCCAGCCCCUUCCCCCUCCUCAACUCUUGUCCCCAAACCACGGCCCCUUUCCCAAAUUGUAGCCAUCAACCUGCUUCAGCCCCUACCCCCCCUACAUUUCCUAAACAUCCAAUUACAGCAUAUACCCUCCACUACAGCCCCUGUCCCCCCACUACAGCCCUGUCCCCUUACUCAGCCCCUGUCUACUGUUUUUUUAAAGUGUAAAGUAUGGGUGUAUGUGUAUGUCUGUGUGUGUCAGUAUGUCUGUGUGUGUGCGCGUCAGUAUAUCUGUGUGUGUGUGCGCCAGUAUGUUUGUCUGUGUGUGCGCCAGUAUGUCUGUGUGUGUGCUCCAGUAUGUCUGUGUGUGUGUGUGUGCGCCAGUAUGUCUGUGUGUGUGUGUGUUUGUGCCAGUUUGUCUGUGUGUGUGUGUCAGUAUGUCUGUCUGUCUGAGUCAGUAUGCCUGUAACAGUGUGUCUUUCAGUGUGUCUGUGUGCCUGUCAGUGAGUGAGCGCGUGUGCCUGCCAGUGAGUGUGUGUUUUUUUAGUGUGUGCCAAAUCAGCAAGUAUGUGUGUGUGCCUGUCAUUGAGUGUUUGUUUGGGUGACUGCCCCACCCCUCCCCCCCCUUUCAAUCACAUGGGAAAGGUGUUUAUACUCUCCUCUUGGUGCAAUGGGCCACUUGACUGGAUUUGCCCCAGAGGCCUGAGGCUGCCAGCCCUCCCCUGGACGCUUCCAUGUUUGGACUGGAGGCUGUGCUGAGCCAAGUCAGGGAGGAUGGAGAGAGAGCACCCUGUCGCAUACCUGAGUCGAAAACUGCUACCCCGGGAAGUGAGCUACACGGCAGUGGAGAAGGAACGUUUGGCCCUGGUUUGGGCACUCAAAAAGUUAAGCUCCUAUCUGUACGGACAGGAAUUUUCACUUGUCACCGACCACAACCCAUUGGUCUGGCUUAACCGGGUCUCAGGAGACAAUGGCACAAUGGCAUUGCUACGGUGGAGCCCAGCCCUGCAACCUUACAACUUUUAUUAUCAGCUACCGACCCGGUAAGCAAAACAGCAAUGCUGAUGGGUUGUCCCGGCAAACAGACAUCACUCCGGCCUCCUAGUUCCAGACAUCCCCAAGUUGACCCGAGAAGGGUCAAGCCGGGUCUGCCAGAGUGUCCCACAAGGAGGGAGCCAUGUGACAGAACCAUUGUAUGUGAUGGAUAAGAAC